AGCGGCGGCAGCCAUAGCCUGGCUGGGCGGCUGCGGAGGCAAGGCGGCGGGCCAGGCAGCGGCAGGCCCCAGCCCGGCCGCAGAUGUGAGGCGGCGGGGGCGGCCCGCCCCGCCCCGCCCCGACAGCGCGGUGAUGGUGUCCAUUGAGAACAUGAUACACUAGAGCCUGAAGCCCAGUCAACAUAGGCAGCAGAAUGAGAUGGCAGAAUGUAGAGGUCCUACAAACUACAUCACUCCAGCUUAAAGUUUUUACUGCUUCAGUGGAGCAAAGACAGCAUAAAAUGAAGAUAUUAAAAAAAUGAAGAGUGCAAGAAAUUCCAUAUGAAAUUAAGAAACUACAGAGCGGGAGUUAGAUGAAACCAGACGGAUGUGUUUAUUGAAAGACAAUAGUUAAUAAUUGUGUUUCAAGUCUGUCUUGUAUGCAUUCGUCAGUUCAUGUUAAACUCUUUGAAUCAGCUCUAGUACUUGGCUAAAAGUGUGUCUAAAAUAAAAGGAUCCUUUCAUUUUAGGCCAGAAUUAAUUGCUCUAAAGUUGGCUUCUCUAUUAAUUCUUGGAACAUGACUGGCAUAUAGAACUGUUUGGUGUAAUAGGUUGCUGUCGCUUUAAGAAGUACUUCCUGGUUGUGGGUUUUCUGAUUAGACUGUAAGCUGUGAUUCAGCCAUUUGGCAGAGAGCGGCAGGCUAUUGGUUGUGUGUCUUCCUGUUCUGUUUUGUUCUUGUCUGGUCUCCAAAUAAAAGUUGUUGAGACCUAA